GCGUUGUCCGGAAUCAUUGGGCGUAAAGCGCGUGUAGGCGGACUGGAAGGUCUGGUGUGAAAGCCCGGGGCUCAACCCCGGAGGGUCACUGGAAACCGACAGUCUCGAGUCCGGAAGAGGAGAGUGGAAUUCCUGGUGUAGCGGUGGAAUGCGCAGAUAUCAGGAGGAACACCUAUGGCGAAGGCAGCUCUCUGGUACGUGACUGACGCUGAGACGCGAAAGCGUG
rnacentral:rRNA from 1 species